AGAGUUUGAUCAUGGCUCAGGACGAACGCUGGCGGCACGCUUAACACAUGCAAGUCGAACGAGAGAAGAGGAGCUUGCUUUUCUGAUCUAGUGGCGGACGGGUGAGUAACACGUGAGCAAUCUGCCUUUCAGAGGGGGAUACCGAUUGGAAACGAUCGUUAAUACCGCAUAACAUAAUUGAACCGCAUGAUUUGAUUAUCAAAGAUUUAUCGCUGAAAGAUGAGCUCGCGUCUGAUUAGCUAGUUGGUAAGGUAACGGCUUACCAAGGCGACGAUCAGUAGCCGGACUGAGAGGUUGAUCGGCCACAUUGGGACUGAGACACGGCCCAGACUCCUACGGGAGGCAGCAGUGGGGAAUAUUGCACAAUGGAGGAAACUCUGAUGCAGCGAUGCCGCGUGAGGGAAGAAGGUUUUAGGAUUGUAAACCUCUGUCUUCAGGGACGAAAAAAGACGGUACCUGAGGAGGAAGCUCCGGCUAACUACGUGCCAGCAGCCGCGGUAAUACGUAGGGAGCGAGCGUUGUCCGGAAUUACUGGGUGUAAAGGGAGCGUAGGCGGGAUCGCAAGUCAGAUGUGAAAACUAUGGGCUUAACCCAUAAACUGCAUUUGAAACUGUGGUUCUUGAGUGAAGUAGAGGUAAGCGGAAUUCCUAGUGUAGCGGUGAAAUGCGUAGAUAUUAGGAGGAACAUCAGUGGCGAAGGCGGCUUACUGGGCUUUAACUGACGCUGAGGCUCGAAAGCGUGGGGAGCAAACAGGAUUAGAUACCCUGGUAGUCCACGCCGUAAACGAUGAUUACUAGGUGUGGGGGGACUGACCCCUUCCGUGCCGCAGCAAACGCAAUAAGUAAUCCACCUGGGGAGUACGACCGCAAGGUUGAAACUCAAAGGAAUUGACGGGGGCCCGCACAAGCAGUGGAGUAUGUGGAUUAAUUCGAAGCAACGCGAAGAACCUUACCAGGUCUUGACAUCGUAUGCAUAGCUCAGAGAUGAGUGAAAUCUCUUCGGAGACAUAUAGACAGGUGGUGCAUGGUUGUCGUCAGCUCGUGUCGUGAGAUGUUGGGUUAAGUCCCGCAACGAGCGCAACCCUUACUGUUAGUUGCUACGCAAGAGCACUCUAGCAGGACUGCCGUUGACAAAACGGAGGAAGGUGGGGAUGACGUCAAAUCAUCAUGCCCCUUAUGACCUGGGCCUCACACGUACUACAAUGGCUGUCAACAGAGGGAAGCAAAGCCGCGAGGUGGAGCGAACCCCUAAAAGCAGUCUUAGUUCGGAUUGUAGGCUGCAACCCGCCUACAUGAAGUCGGAAUUGCUAGUAAUCGCGGAUCAGCAUGCUGCGGUGAAUACGUUCCCGGGCCUUGUACACACCGCCCGUCACGCCAUGGGAGUCGGUAACACCCGAAGCCUGUAGCCUAACCGCAAGGAGGACGC
rnacentral:rRNA from 1 species